UGGGGAAUCUUGCACAAUGGGGGAAACCCUGAUGCAGCGACGCCGCGUGGGUGAUGAAGUCCUUCGGGAUGUAAAGCCCUUUCGACGGGAACGAUAAUGACGGUACCCGGAGAAGAAGCUGCGGCUAACUACGUGCCAGCAGCCGCGGUAAUACGUAGGCAGCAAGCGUUGUUCGGAGUUACUGGGCGUAAAGAGUGUGUAGGCGGGUAGGCAAGUUUGGUGUGAAAUCUCCCGGCUUAACUGGGAGGGUGCGCCGAAUACUGCCUGUCUUGAGUGCGGGAGAGGAAAGCGGAAUUCCUGGUGUAGCGGUGAAAUGCGUAGAUAUCAGGAGGAACACCUGCGGUGUAGACGGCUUUCUGGACCGUAACUGACGCUGAGACACGAAAGCGUGGGUAGCAAACAG
rnacentral:rRNA from 1 species